CAGUCCUCCUCUUCGCCUUCUCAUUGCUGAGCACCUCCAGCCGCUUCAUGCAUGUAGGCAACGAGUCCAUGUGAAAAGGAGCAGGCUUCACCCAGAUCUGCUGGCACCCUGGUUGAGAAUCACUAUGGCAGCUCAUCCCCGUGAGAAUUAACCCAUCACUGACAAGGCUACAUGAGGCAACUUCCCUGUUUCUGGUGGCAGAGCCAUGCUGCUUCUCACCGUGUCCACAGGUAGUGGAUUGGCUUCCCUUUAGGGAAGGUUAGUGGUGAACGAGAGAAGGUUAAAUGAUGGAUAAGCAGUGGCAGCACCACCAGGCUAUGGUGGGGACAGCAGAUGGCAAUGCUCUCCCUCCUGAAAAGCCACAUACAUCCUUUGAUAGUGCUGCGACAUGGCAAGUAGAGGUUGCCACUAUAAUAAGCCUACCCAGCCCCCAGCCAUGGAUCUACAAAUCCUCAAUGGCGGAGCAGGUGGAAGAAGAUGUUAAAACCUCAACGGCUGCAGAGGUGAACGAAGGCUGCGGCAGAAUGAGAUCUCCAGUUGUCUUGGUCUCCUUGCCACUGGAUCAAAGUCCCAUUCUGUCAAGAACUGCGUGGAAGCUGAUGUGCAGCAGCUUCAUGAAAAAGGAAAUCACGCACAGGUAUCUCCCAUGACAAACCAGAAAUCCAGAGCCACCCACCCUGCAUACAAACACGUGCCCAAGUUGCAAGAGAGCCUGUCACUUGUGGAUUGGCCCUAUCAGGCAUCUUUGGACCAACAGAUAAGGUCAUCAUGGAAGACAAUCCUCCUCGAUUGCGAGGGAUUACCAGUGAUGACUAUCCUCAUUGGGCAGAGGGGGAAUGGCAACCCAGAGAGACAGAGGCCUUGUCUAUGCACUGGGGUCCCUGCUGCCAUGUCUACCUCGGAAAGGCUAAAUGGCGAUGCGUCCUAGUGCAGGUGCAGCAUCUGCCACCUUUGCUGCCACAUCUCUGCAAGUCAUGCCUGGUGAGCCACCCACAGCACUGCCCCGUCAGCUGGGGUAAUGCCAGCAUUGCUAUGUCCAAAAGGUGGUGCGCUCUUCCCCUGCCCGUACCUGACCUAGGUAACUCCAACAGAGUUUUGCAGUGUGGACCAGGUCUGAGUUACUUGCUCAAGGGCACGACAGAAGAGUGGGGCAGACUCCAAGAUUGAAGCUGGAUCUCUGCAGUCCUGGCAUAACACCCAGACUGUGGCAUGAUCCUUCCUGUCCUGGUCAUGCAUAGUCAGUUGUGUUUGGGGCACUAGAGACAUGCUCAAGACAUGCUCAUGGGUGAGGUUAUGAUUUCCCCCCUGUGGUUAGUAACAGGAUGGAUGGAUCCGUUCCCCUGAGUGGACUUGCACACUGGUGCAAACAAGAACGACUGUGCAUGUGUUUUUGGUCCUGAACACAUCUGCACAUGACAUGAUCUGACCUGCAUCCCUUCACAGGCCAAAAACGAUUGUGCCAUGUUGCUGGACUUACAUUCACAGUCUGACCAACACAGGGGAACCUACAUCCACAGUCCGCACCCGUUACCUGGCUGCCCGCAUUCUCCGCCAAUUUGUUGCAUUCCUAUGAUCCUAUGAUCAGUCUUAUACCAGGCAAGGAGAGUACGACACAGUUGACCUAAACUAAAGAGAGUUUAUUGAACCCUAACAGAUACCAUUCUAUUUAAAACUGAAGUAGCAGUAGCAGUUUAAAAAUUUAGGCUUGUAGCUAGUCAAAGCAGAUGCUCACCACCCCAAAUGUUGUGAAUGCAACUUCACUGGGUGAUCAGGCCGUGAAGUCUUGUCCAGGGCUCCUGGCUCCCACGUCUGAUAUCAAAACAGGAUCUUGGAUCAAUGAUGGGAUCUCUUCAGGCUUUCUUCAAGAGUGUUUCGAAGGGUACAUGCCCUCACUUUUUUUAUAUAUUGUAUAAUUUGCAUUUCUUAAUACAUAAAAUUAACUUAAACCUUC